CUCUGCCCUAUGCUCUGAUCGUGAGAGGGUUUGAGCUAGGCGCAUGUGUUUUCCAGCUAAUGAGAGUGUUUGGAUGGUGAUGGAUCAUCUCUUCGAUUUGCAAUCUCGUGGUGAAUCACUCAGAUCUGGCUUCCUUGUGUUGCGGUGGAGCAUGAAGUCUGACAAAGCAUACAAUGAUGAUGAAGAUGAAGAGGAUAAAAAUAUCAUUCAGCAUCAUGGCGUGUGUUGAUCUAUGCCUACUAAAUCAACGAUAUACCAAAGGUUUAUUCAAUCUUAUCCAAGGGUUCCUGAUGCAGCCUAACCUAAAACAUUAACCACCCUCUAUUGCUAGCAAAAAUGACUUCUGACGAGGCAACAAAAUCCUGUCCAUUCAUAUAUGAUGUCAAGCCAGAACAUGCAUCUACGGGUGCUUUCGAUGGCUAGUCUUGCAGUCAUGGCUGGCACCAUGUUUCCAGUCUAUUACGAACCCACAAGUCUAUGGUUUUGAUGUUUGUGACAAUGUAAGCUAACUGGUGAGAUCGUGAAGCCUAAUAUAAUUUAUGUUGGCGUUGAGUGUGGAGAUAAUCUAGAUGCUGUCAUGAGUACAAAUUCAAAGAGAAAACCUAUACCAAAAGACUAGGUUGUUGGGUUAAAGAGCCUCUCACACUAAGCUCACUUCACUUGUGAGGCUUGCCAAUGUAGGACUCAUGGUAGAUUCUUUAUUGAAUUCUCAUAAUCGCUUGUUAAUCUUUUGUUACCAAA